CCCCAGUAAACGGCGGCCGUAACUAUAACGGUCCUAAGGUAGCGAAAUUCCUUGUCGGGUAAGUUCCGACCCGCACGAAAGGCGUAACGAUCUGGGCACUGUCUCAACGAGAGACUCGGUGAAAUUAUAGUACCUGUGAAGAUGCAGGUUACCCGCGACAGGACGGAAAGACCCCGUGGAGCUUUGCUGUAGCCUGAUAUUGAAUUUUGGUACAACUUGUACAGGAUAGGUAGGAGCCAGAGAUCUCGGAGCGCCAGCUUCGAAGGAGGCGUCGGUGGGAUACUACCCUGGUUGUAUUGAAAUUCUAACCCA
rnacentral:rRNA from 1 species